UAGCUGUAACAUAGCAGCAAAUGCAAAAUUGUUUUAUAAAACUGGAUUUUAUAAAGCUGUAUUUAUAAACCCACAAGCUAUAAGACAAAAAGGGGGAAAAUAAAAGGAAAAGGGGGAAAAUAAAAUAUAAGGAACACUUCGAGUUUAGCCCACUUCUAAGCUGAAAAUGAACGUUUUCAGCAGUGUUGCUCUCAAUGUGAUCAGCAGCUGUGUUUUACUCAAAAAGGCCCUGUGAUCAUUGAGUUUAAAACCCUGGGAAACAUUGCUCUAAUAAAAUUAUUGGAAGUUACUUUUUCCCCUGUCUCUCCUGAAAGCAACUUAAUAUUGCAAUUUUUUGGAAAGGUUUGUUUUAGGACAGUCACAAGGUACACAGGCCUGAGUGUGGCAGUGCUAUACCAGACUGGCAGCGAUGCUGAGUGGCAAUAUCCAGACCCGGAUUGUGCUGGUAUCGUGGGGGUGUAAAUUUGACUUUCCAAUUGCUCCAAGAUCAGAAGCAGCUGCCAGGUGCAUGAAAGGUUGCUUGCCUCAAUGCAGGGCUGCAGUCAAAUUGGUUCCUCUGUCAUUGCAAGCCGCCUGUUUUACUAACCAGAGCGGCGGAGAGGGAUGAAGGCUGCCUAAAGCCACUGAAGGCACCCUCAUGGCUGGUGGGGCUGCCGUGGGUCCCGCCGGGAUGCGGCGGGGAGGAGAGGAGCUUCCCGGCGCUCCGCAGACGCCAGCCAUCCCACCUGCUGUUAAUUUUCCACUUCCUCCUCUCCCAGACCUGAACCAUCUCCUGCUCCUUUGUCAGCGCCUUCUGCAGAUGUUUUAAAAGCGACUGGCAAGCUUCCUUGCUGCAGGGGCUGCUCAGCUUCUAUCCUCCUCCUCCACAGAGAAAAGACCCUAACCUGAGGGGCGUUUGCAAGUGUGAAAAAUGACGCUAAGGCUCCUUUCCCUAUCUCCUAAUUUUUAAAGAUUUGGUGUAUCAGGCUCGGUGGUCUUUCCAAGUGCCUGCCGUGCCCCUCCUGCUUCCCCCGAGCCCAAUGCUGCUGGUUGUCACUCACUUAGAGAAGCCGUGGAGGCCUGACCCUGUGCAUUGACAUCCACGGGACCUUUGCCAUUAACGUUAUUGCUCCCAGCAUCGAUCCCCAUGCGAGAUGAGACCGGUACCCUCGUUUGGGGUGUGAGGCUGGGGCCCCCCGCCGUCGGGUUCCUGCUGGAGGAGACUUCGUGCCUGUGUGUCUGCCAAGGAGAGAUGUCGGAGGGGAUGCGCCUUCUUCCAGGCUGCAUCAGCUCCUCCGGUACGUGCGUACCGUAUAACAUGUAGGUUUGGUUUGAGCGUACCAGCCACCCGAGGCGGUUCUUCUGCUGCGUGAUGAUAACGGGACUGACCAAAACUGUAGCUAAAACACCCAACCCCGACAUUUUGCCGCUAUGAACCAUGGGGCUGGGAAUGGCCACCUUUCCAAAGCCUCAUCUGCGGUGGGUUGCGUGGUGGUUCAUUUUCCCCAUGGAAAAACGAUAGCAAAGAGGGGAGGGGAGCGGGCCUUGCGCUUUCGAAGGGACGUGUUUCAGUUCGGCACGGGGCAGCGAGUGAGGUGGGCUCGGGUGGGCUGAUGCCUGACCCGCAGCCCCCCGGUCCCCAAGCCACGGCGUACCCGGCUGCAAGCCCACCAGCGCAGGGCUGUAGCUCCCGCGGCUCCUCGAGCCCUGGAUUUCACAAAAUUUGAAAAGAAAUCUGGGUUUCUGUCUUGGCAGUGGUAUUAUUUGGAGGUUGGAAGGGGCUGCACGGGGCUUGUUCCCAGUUCUCCACGGCCAUUGGCAAGAACUUACUCUGUGUGUCUUCUUCUGCAGCACAUCCCCCAAAUGGGCAUUUAAUCAGGUGCCAGUGUAGGAAAUAGACAGCUUUCACCCAUCUUACCGCUUCCAUCAACCAUUCUGCGGUGCGGGGGCGAUCCUGCAUCCCUCCCUGAGCCGUCCCCAGGUCUCCUUCAGCUGCCAAAGCGCUGCGUCGGAAGCAGGAGCAGGCUUGGGCAUGGCUGAGGAGGCCAGCGCUGGAGCUAGUGCCCGGUCAGGGGGCUACGGGGGAUGCCCCUGCUCCUCUCCAGGAUCUCCAGUGCCUUGAGACCCAGCAGCAUCACCUCGGGCCGUCAGCCAGAGCCGAGGGGUGAGUGCUGCAGUUUUUCCCUCUGGCGCAGCCCUGGGAAAAGCGCUGAGACCUGUUCAUCAGAUCUUCUCCCUCCUCCCACCACAGGGAAAUGGGGAAAGAAAAACCUGCUCCCUCCUCUCCUGGCCAGGAUGGGAAAGAGAAGCUGUAUUUACUUUCCACUGUCUUGUAGCUGGGAGGAGGAGAAAAGAGGAUGUGGAAAGGGAGAAAGGGGAGGCUCGGGGCAGGGGGAUCCCUAUCGAUGACCAUACUGGGGUCCGCCGAAACCUGAAAUGGGAACACAAGUUGAGCAGUCUGCGGUGUGGCAUCCCCACUUGUAGAGAAAACAUUUACUGAGUUGUACGGUAACAGUGCAGGGCAAACGGGGAAGGUGACCCAGAGAAAAAUCUGUCCCAUCCGUGGUUGUGUCAGGGGUGUUGCUGGAUGUUAUUUAUAACAUUUAAUUACUAUUAUUUUUACUUGUCCCAGUUCUUCCCAGCCAGAGAAGGUCACUGAAGCCAUUGCUCAGGAAAGAAAAUGGCGUUAAGCUGGUAAAAAAGAGUGAAACUCCUGUGGUGUUUGGGGUUUUUUUCUUUUCGUAAUUUUGCCAUUCUCACUUUGGUGGGCGCUGAGAUUUCCUACACACCUCACCUGAACGAGAGCGGAGAGUGGCAGUUAAAAAGAUGGGGAAGGGCACAGCGGUACAGAGGUAUGGAGGAAUGGAGAUAAAGAUUUGAGUCCAGGACAUCUAGGGCUAAGUCAGUUCAAAGGUCCCCGACGAGGGUUUGUCUCAGGGAGGAAUGUGCUUCACUCCCCAUUAAAAUGGUCCUACGUGGAGGUAGCGAUGCUGUGCCAGGGUGCUCUUUCUGUGUGUGUGGGUACGGCUGUCCACGCCACCCCAGAGCUCCCGAAUCCCCCAUGUGAACAGGACCUAUCGUUUGUGGAUCAUGAAGGCCAAGUGAGGCAACAUAACCCCCUAAUCUGAUACCACGUGCAGCACAAGCCAGGUGGCUUAUUAAGUUCAACUAGAGCAUCUUUUUUUCAGAAGAAACAAGCAAACAACUGAACAUUUGGGACAGAAUAAUUUCCAGCAACAGAGAGUCCACAGCAUCGCUGGGAACAAUUCUUACAGGCUAUCUGAAUUAUCCAGAAACUGCCAAGGCAGAUUUAUACUUGAACUGGAUUACAAGGAAAUACACUGCAAACCACUGCAACAAAUCAUUACUAAUCACAAUCAAUCGGAGUGAUUAAAGCUCUGACAUCUCUCCUGGAGUUGCAUUAAUGAAUGAGAAAUUGCAUGCAAAUGGCACUGCAGUUCUUGGUCCCAGCCAGAUGUCAUGCCUGUCAUCCCCCCUCUCACCCAGCGCGUUGCAAGGUUUUCCCUUGGGCCGAUGUCCCGAUAAAUGGCUUUUCCAUCCUGGGUGAAAUUUCCAUGGGAGGACUGGGGACAUUUAUCCCAGAGAAAGAAGGAAUGCUGUAGCUUGUUACACCCUAAAAAGAUGAUAACCCCUAUAGACUAGUCACACCCUUACUCAGGUAAAAUAUGUUCAGACUAGCUAACUUAUCUCUUCGCAUGUAAGAUGUCUGUGGUAUUCUUCUCAACUUCCUGUGCCUAACUGCUGGUGCUAUGGUUGCUAUACAUGGCCAAGAAGCUAUGCUUUCCCACCCCAGACACGAACAGAGAGCUCCAGCAUAUAUUUAUCUUUUUUUGCAUACUUCACAGAAAUAUUUCGAAGCUUAAGAAGUCUCUCGGGCUAUGUUUGUUCAGUGUUUCAAUAACCUCCUGUGAAAAUGCUUUACAAAGAAUUAUUCUUCUUUCUGGUCCGCGAUGAUUUAUUUAUUCCUCCAACUCAGUGUUUGCUUCAUGCUGAUUAUAAGGGCCAUAAAACCAUGGCACCGAAAUGCAUCAUUUCCAGAGGACGCUUGCUCUCUUUGCUGGGAGAAGACAAGGAAUCGCACCCCAGAGGAUGCUGCCCAGACGGAGGACGGAGCCUGCUCUCCUGGGGCUGUGGAGCGGGGCGAUGAGAUGCAGCCGUGCCAGAAGCCCGCCGUCGCCAGCGCUGGCCGGGAGCAGAGGGUGAUGGAUGCCCCCGGGUAUCUUCAUGGCUGACAGCAUCUGAGGAAGGUCCCAUAAAGCGUAAUCCUUAAUUCAUCUCCUCGGGAGCCCAGAAAGGCUGAUGUAGUUGGUGGGACGUGCGUGAAUUUGAGCCCUUCGUAGACAGAACAGGACAACAGUUCCUCCGUGCCCACUGCGCUGGCGUGCACGACAGAAGCCUUCUAUAAUGCCCCUGUGUUUUAACCUCAUCCAAACCAGCCAAAAUAAAAAAAGAAGCCACACAUGACCCAGUGCCCGCCUGCCCAUGCCCCCCGGCAGACAGAGGAGAACGCCUGCCGCCCGCCUGCAGACAUCGGUGCUCGCGCCUGGGAGUGCAGCGGCGUAACUGCUGAGUGGUGAAUACCAGUUUAUCGUGUUCUGGGAUCCUUCCCCAGGUACACCCACUCCAUGUGCCUCUUUCCUGUUUAGAGGGGAGAUUAUCUCGGCCCAUCAACACCCCUGUAGGGAAAUGAUGGCUUUGUGCAGCUCUCCUCCGCUGUGGCAGAGGGAAUGGCGAGGAUGCCCGGCGUAAGGAAACCCGUGCACCACAGGACCUGUCCUCCGGGCUGCUCUGCUGCCGAGUGCCCUUUUGAGGCCACCUCCUUCAGCCGCUGCGCAGCCAUAAACCAUGCCCACGCUGCAUCUGCAGCACUGGGAGCACCUUCGGAUCGGCGGGGUUUCGCAGCCGCUGGAAGAGGCGGUGCUGGGAAGAGAUGUCGACGCCUGCUUUAGGAGGCUCCCAUAUCCCAGCGCAGCGUGGAUGUCCCUCAAAGGCUGGGAGGGAUGACCCAGAUCCAGUGCAUCGUAUCUCCCCCAGGGUGUUGCUGCAAAGCGGUGCUUCUUGACGCAAUUGCCUCUCAGUGACAGGAAUGAGGUAGGUGUGCUUUAAUAAAGAGCGGCUUUAGCUUCGCUGUGAGUCCCCGCGUGGGAGGAUGGCCCCGCUGUGGUUCAGCGCUGUGGGUGGGUUCAGCCCACUCCUCCGCACAGCCACUGGCCCCAGGCGCUGCGGGAUCACCCCUCUGGCUCUGGGCAAAAGUCGCCUGAAAUCUCUCCUUGCCGGUGGUGCCGGUGUUGGUGAAGGAGGCGAUGAGCUGGACUGAUAAUCGUGUCUUCUGCCGAACAAGAGAUAAGCAAACACUUGAGGAGGAAGAAACUAGUGAGGGGAGAAAAAAGAACCUGUAUUUCUCACGGUAUCAGGACACUAGUGCUUGGCUAACAGGCCGAUGCGAGCUGGGCUUGUUUCGAGCCAGAAUGUUUUGAAAGGGCAAAAGGGCCAGCUGACCUUGGAGGCCGAUCGUCCUCCUCCUGUUGUAGAAGUCGAAGGGCUGUCUCUCCAGUAGGUCUCCUUUGAUUUAAUACUCACCUGAAAGGAAUCAGGAGUGCCUCCACAAGCACCUAAUGCUUCUGUGAGCCUGCAGCUCAUCCCUACAAAUGUGCGCACUGUUCUGCAUGUGCCAGAGUUUCAGCUCAUGGGUUAUCACAGAGCAUUUUCUGCUUCAUUAUUUUCAUAGUCUUUGUAAGAAUUCCCUAUUUUUACCCUCAGCUCUUACUUACUGAGUUAAAGGCAUGCACUUGCAGAGGAUGUUCAUCCGUGGCAUUCACCCCAGGUUACCUGGACGGCUGCCUGAGAGCCUUCAUGUUUGUUCUUACCUUCAUGACCCCUUGUCCCAUGGUGUAGCUUCUCUCAGAGAAACCUGGCCUGUGACCCUAGCUUUGCUCCUCCAUUCCUGUGAACAGUUUUAUGGUUUGCAUGUCCGAGGCUGUGUUCUGCUUUUCUAUCUAUCUAGUUCACAAAUACUCAGCGCUGAAAUGAUCCUCUAACUCUGAGCCGACCAUGAGAUGCUGUGUGCAGCAAAAGCAGGUUCGCUCUUCAAAACCUUUCCUGCUGCCUCUUGGUGCAGCAUCACUUUGUGAAUCAGUGUCUCACUUCUAACGGUGAAGAGUCCCAUUCAUAGUCAAGAUGAUGUUUCUGGCACUGAACAUAGCUGUCUUCUGAAAAGUCUCUCCUGCUCCUCUUUAACCUUUCCCUUUUUGACUGUGCGGGUUGUGCAUGCUCUGCUUCUCAGGAGCUACUAGAAGCCCUUGUCUGAAGACUCUUGCAAAAAGGUUUUGCUUCUUUUAAGUGAAAGAGAUCUUUAGAGAGCCAGACGCUGCUAGUGUAUGUUUCUUUCCAUGCUUUAGACAGUCUUCCAUGCCAUUUUCCGUGAGCUCAUUCUCGGUGCUUCUUGCCGGUGUCUCCCUGGACCCUUAGUUUGCAUCCCCUUUCCGCACACACUGCUUUAAAGUAUUUCUUCCUACCUUCACGAAAAGACAAAGAAAUCCUCUCACCAUGGUCGGUGCAUUCCCAAGAUAUUUCAACACCCUGGAAUCCCUGGUUGCUGCUGCGACGUUCCCGCUCCGCUGGUCGCCCUGCUGCCCCAUCGCUCUUUGCCCCCCCCUCCACUUCUGAUAUGAAAUCAGCGUUCUCUGCUGGUAGAUA